rnacentral:SRP_RNA from 1 species
GCUGGGCGUAAUGGCCUAUGCCUGUAGUCCCAGCUACUUGGGAGGCUGAGGUGGGAGGAUCGUUUGAGCCCAGGAGUUUGAGGCUGCAGUGGGCUAUGAUCAUACUACUGCAUUCCAGCCUGGGUGACAGAGUGAGACCCUGACUCUU